rnacentral:sRNA from 1 species
CCUACUAAAGCGGUUUCUUAUUGCUUUGUAGAUUCAACAGUUUUUUUCCACUCAACCGGCCGCGUUGUGCAUCCGUGUCUUCUUUGCCCUCAUUUGCCUUGGGCGGAUGUGUUGAAGGUUCCAGAGACCAGCCAGCCCUCUGGUGUGUUUUUCUGGGUAGCUCUAGGUUAUGCUGGAACUCACUCUAUAGAUCUGGUUGGCCUU